UACGGAGGAUGCGAGCGUUAUCCGGAUUUAUUGGGUUUAAAGGGUGCGUAGGCGGGCUUUUAAGUCAGCGGUAAAAAUUCGGGGCUCAACCCCGUCCGGCCGUUGAAACUGGGGGUCUUGAGUGGGCGAGAAGAAGGCGGAAUGCGUGGUGUAGCGGUGAAAUGCAUAGAUAUCACGCAGAACCCCGAUUGCGAAGGAAGCCUUCCGGCGCCCUACUGACGCUGAGGCACGAAAGUGCGGGGAUCGAACAGG
rnacentral:rRNA from 1 species